rnacentral:lncRNA from 1 species
UCGUUGCCGCCGCCGCUUCCGCAUGGUUUCCCAUCUUUGACCAGCACCGGCACGGCCACCCGUCGCGGCGAACUGGCGCUCUGCAACAGAGAAUAACAUCGUCCCUCGCGUUAGAACAGAAAGCGAUAAAGCUAACGUGAGGAAAGAAACGAAGGAGGGGGAUUAAAUUUCGCCUCAACAUCCAGAAGAGAGAAACGACAGGCUGGCCUAUCCGAUCCACCGGUGUGUACACUCGAUCCACACGUAGGUGCACAGGCUGUGCACGACGAAGCAUGGAGAAGACGACGGAGUCGUGGCUCGGCUUCUGUGUUCCAAGCAAACACGUGGGCUCGGUAGGCACAGGUACUUAACCCGUGCGAUACCUCGUGAUCAGCAUUCGAGCGUACUCGUACUCUGGAGGAGACUCUCUCUCUCUCAUUACGAAUAAACAGUACCAGCUACCGUGGACCACAGCCGGGUUCCAGCCGGGGCUCUGUCGAGCCGCGUCAACAUCGAGAACUGCUGUCCCUCGUCUCCCUGCGUUUCUAUCCGGGGGGAUUGAAUACGACGACGAGCGGGACCCCACGGCAUGCCAAACAGAAGCCGAAGCAAGCUGGCCGAGUACCUGCCGGGACGACCACUCAGCUGUAUCAACAUUCGGUACACGACAUUCCUCUUCGAUCUCCACGUCAGCGACGCUUUAAUAAUAUGAUCGCGGCCGCUCGGAAAUAACGCCUAUUUCGACCGACGGACGCACGUACAUAUGGCCUGGAUAGUUUUCUUUCUUUUCCUUUUUUUAAAUCGGAUGGAAAAUUGCGAAAAUGGAAAACGCCUCUUUCGGAUCAUCUAAAAAAUGCCUCGUCGAUUGCACAGCUUAGUGUUAGAUGUAUCUUGAGAGACCGUAUAUACAUACAGACUGUAUUUCAAGUGGAAGGUAAACAUCGAGUAGAAAUUAUUUUUAAAAAAAGAAAAAAAAAAGAUUGCUUAAUAUACGAUGUGGAAGAUACGAUGAACGCGUCCGAAGUUAGUGAAGAAUAAAUGAAUAAAAUUCUAAUAAAAUUUAUAUUUCGAACGGGAGCUUCUAUAUGUUUACUCACGUACGUGGACUACACGCUUUCCCCAUUAUAGUUUCGUGGAUUUGAACGGAUUCGUGGAGGAAAAUUUAUCUGAAGAAAUACAUAACCUAACCGCGACUGUAUAAUGAUAAUGAUUGGGCGUCCGGCGAGGUUUACGUAUGAAAGGAAACAAUGGGGGUGGUGUAUGUAACAACGAUUCGAUUCGAGUGGCCAACAUGAACUUACGUGCACGUUACUGGCCGCGAACAUAAGUGCAGGCAUGCCGUGCACUUCACGCUGACAAAGUGACGAUUACGCUAAACGCAUGACGGUCGGCGCGCGCGUCACGCGUCACGCCACUUUAGCCACUUCAACACGCGUUAAGCGAUUUCCGGCGAAAAUGGCCGUGCUUAGGAACGGAGUAGUACGUGUUUAUGAGCGGCGACCACUGCGCCAUGCAUAAUGAGCCUCAAUGUUGCCGUGAUCGCGCGGCCGCGAUUGAAUUCUCGGGAAGCAUAUUAUGCGUCGAUUUCCCUUUCCCCCUUCGAGGAACAUCGUCCCCUUUUUAGCAGAGUAUACAUAUUUCCUUCUACGGAAGCGAUCGUUGUCACCGGUUGCUUUUUAGGUUAAGGACUCGACCGAGAUUCUAUUUUAUAUUUCUAUCUUUAAACGAGCGAAACAGCGUUCAAUUUUAUUAUCCCUUUCAUAUUAUUUUUCACGUUAAUAUUAUAAUCAUUAUUUGGCGAUUUAAUCAGCGUUGUAAAAACUGAUUGAGACUAAUAUUUUUUUCCCAUAUAGAAGCGAGAGUGAAGAAGAAUCGAAGAAAGGACACAACAACGGCUAGCAAAGAAUAUUCUGUAGACGAUCGCUUUUUUUUUUUAAAAAAGAUACCCUUUACGGAAUAUUUAAUUCCUUUAAUAUAUCGCGAGGAGACGAGAAACGAGGGCAGGGAUAUUUGCAAAAUAAAUUGUACUUGAAACAUCUACGUGGUCGCAGCCGAUGUUCAUUCCAUGUAUACAGCCGCAUCGAAUAUCUAAAUGUGCCGCUUGCGCGCGCCAGUGACUUCCACGUGAAUGCAUCUCUCGUGGAAAAACACUCGUCAUCGUCGGAACUGAUAUAAUUAACUAAAAGCUGGGCUCUACCAGUGCCACAGCUUUUCCCCUUUUUCGCUCCUCCUCCUAUCCCACCUACACCACUACCAAGUCCAGCCCGGCGGUCGUCUAUGUCUCGUUUCUUUACAGAAACCUCGGUCGAACAAAGAACCACAAGAAGAGAUAUUAAAAGAUUUCUGCCGGGACCUCUCGUUUCCACGACGAAUGGAAUUCAAUGGGUUUUGUAAACGAGGAAGUGGUUUUUAAAUCUAAUAACCGAUGUUUUACCACGAGUGUAAUUACAUUAGGCGGUCUCUCGAUACUCGCCAAACAACUUUCGCGCCUUCUUUCUGCCAGAAAAAUGCUAAAACCAGGCCACGAAGUUUUCAUUGCAGUCUUAUUUUUUCAAGAUUCGUAGAAUAAUAAUAUAGAAGAAUGAGUUAAAUUUUUGUUUUAUUCCUUAAACUUGUUACUGAGAAUUAAGGUUAAUAAUAAUUUAUUAUUUUCAAACAAAUCUUAUUGUAACUUGAUAUUUAGCUGCAAAAAUUUUAAUUUUGACUUUUCCUUACCGCUCAUUUAAAUGGAACAAUACUCUAUCAUAAUACGAAUUCGCUAUCAUAUACGAUUGCAAACGAUUUCCUAUUUCUACAUUCUGGACAUAAAGAUGUCGUAAGCAUUCGACUUAAAAUCUCGAUUGCAACUCGAAGUUACAAUCCGCGGGUCGAAAGAUCGACGGCUCGCGUCUCGAGGGGAGGGUUAAUCGAUAUCAAUAGUAGUAGUAUUGGUAACCCCGAUUCGCGUCCAGGUGUUGUGCAUGACUGUACUCAUGGCAAGAUGGCGACCGGUCCUCGAGCACCCGUUUCCGCGCUCCCCUGCAGGAUACCUCUCUUCCCCUCUCUUGUCGUUCUCUCUUUCUUCUUCUCACCCGCUCUCCCUGCCCGUCUUUUUCUUUCUCUUUCUUUUUCUCAUGCUCGCUCGCUCGCGCUGCCACUUGAAAUUUUUUUACCGCCGCGAGGGGAGGAAAUGGAAUAAAACGAAAGAAAGGGAAAAAAGAGGGAAAAAAAAUUGGAGCUCUGCCUACCAACUCGUCGUCGUCGUCGACGACGUAGCUACCUUCACGUCGCAUACCGUUUUAAAUAUAAAAACGAUUAAUUCUAUUAGUUAUUAAUGUUAUUAGUUAUAAUUUUCGUCACAUUUUAAUAAAUAUUUAUUAAUUAUUCCGAAUAUAAUUUAAGAAUUCCAGAUUCGUACGUUUUUAAUACCAACUUUUCACAAUGUCAGAUAAAUUUUACUAUAUCUUGUAAAUAAUUAUUGGGGAAUAAUUUAUAGGGAAGAUUGUGUUCCGAAAGUAACAAAAAUAAAAAGUUACCGAAAUUUUUUUUAUGCGAAAGACCCGAUUUCCAUAUUAAGAAAGCUAUCUAAAUAAAUAUAUACUUAUUGUACAAAAUUAAAAAUUAUUAUAUUAAAAAUAUUAAAAAUAUACUUAUUGUACAAAA